rnacentral:rRNA from 1 species
UACGUAGGUGGCAAGCGUUGUUUCGGAAUUAUUGGGCGUAAAGGGCGCGUAGGCGGUUUGUUAAGUCGGUCGUGAAAGCCCGGGGCUCAACCCCGGAGGGUCGACCGAUACUGGCAGACUAGAGUACAGGAAGAGGUAACUGGAAUUCCUGGUGUAGCGGUGAAAUGACGCAGAUAUCAGGAGGAACACCGAUGGCGAAGGCAGGUCUCUGGGCAUUAACUGACGCUGAGGAGCGAAAGCAUGGGGAGCGAACAGG